CAAAACCCAACCAAACUCCGAAUGCCGGUGACAACUGUCCGGGAGUCAGUCAGCGGGAGCUAAGUUCCGUUGACGAGAGGGAAAGAGCCCAGACCGUCAGCUAAGGUCCCCAAAUCUUGACUAAGUGUGAAAGGAUGUGGGAACGCAUUGACAACCAGGAGGUUGGCUUAGAAGCAGCCAUCCUUUAAAGAAAGCGUAAUAGCUCACUGGUCAAGCGAGCCCGCGCCGAAAAUUCAACGGGGCUAAAGUCUAGUACCGAAGCUACGGGUUCUCGUAAGAGAGCGGUAGGCGAGCGUCGUCAUAGAGAUACGAGGUAGACGGUAACGACUGCUGAUGGCUAUGACGAGUGAAUAUGCAGGCAUAAGUAGCGAUAAGCAGAGUGAGAAACUCUGUCGCCGUAAGCCCAAGGUUUCCUGGGGUAGGAUAAUCCUCCCACGGGUUAGUCGGAUCCUAAGCAGAGGCCGAGAGGCGUAUGCGAUGGUAAGCAGGUUAAUAUUCCUGCACCACUAAGGAUGGCGUAGAAGCAAGCAGGGACGAAGAAGGGUAGCUCAACACCGCGUUGGUUGGUGUUCAAGCUGGUAGGCUGGCUCUUUAGGACCCAAUAGGGACAAACGGAGAGUCUAAGCCGAGAUGUGAUGAGGUGAGACCUUUGGUCUCAAAACUGAGUAAUCCCAUACUUCCUAGAAAAGCUGCGUGCAGAGCCACUUUAGUGUCCGUACUACAAACCAACUCAGGUGGGCGGGGUGAAUAUCCCAAGGCGCGCGAGAGACCCCUGGUUAAGGAACUCGGCAAAUUUGCACCGUAACUUCGGGAGAAGGUGUGCCCCUCGACGUGUAGCCCUCGCGGUCAAGCGUUAGGGGGUCGCAGUGAAAUGGCGGUUGUUGACUGUUUACUAAAAACACAGGACUCUGCGAAGUCGUAAGACGACGUAUAGGGUCUGAUGCCUGCCCGGUGCUGGAAGGUUAAGGGAAUGCGUCAGCGCAAGCGAAGCGUUGAACCGAAGCCCCAGUAAACGGCGGCCGUAACGAUAACGGUCCUAAGGUAGCGAAAUUCCUUGUCGGGUAAGUUCCGACCUGCACGAAUGGCAUAACAACAUCCGCACUGUCUCGACCAGGGACUCGGCGAAAUUGCAGUGGGGGUGAAGAUGCCCUCUACCCGCGACUAGACGGAAAGACCCCAUGAACCUUUACUGUAGCUUGGCAGUGAUUUUCGGGACAUCUUGCGUAGGAUAGGUGGGAGGCUUUGAAGUCGGGAUUCUGGUCUCGAUGGAGCCACCCUUGAAAUACCACCCUGGAUGUUCUGGGAAUCUAACCUGCGUCCGUUAUCCGGACGAGGGACACUGCCUGGUGGGCAGUUUGACUGGGGCGGUCGCCUCCU
rnacentral:rRNA from 1 species